rnacentral:pre_miRNA from 2 species
AACCCGUAGAUCCGAACUUGUGGUAUUAGUCCGCACAAGCUUGUGUCUAUAGGUAUG